UACGUAGGGUGCGAGCGUUAAUCGGAAUUACUGGGCGUAAAGCGUGCGCAGGCGGCUUCGCAAGUCAGGCGUGAAAUCCCCGGGCUUAACCUGGGAAUGGCGUCUGAAACUACGGAGCUGGAGUGUGGCAGAGGGAGGUAGAAUUCCACGUGUAGCGGUGAAAUGCGUAGAUAUGCGGAGGAACACCGAUGGCGAAGGCAAUCCCCCUGGGCCUGCACUGACGCUCAUGCACGAAAGCGUGGGGAGCAAACAGG
rnacentral:rRNA from 1 species